GAAUAAUAUGUGUGCCUCUUGAGCCGUAAACUCGUGUGCUUGUCGAAUAAUCCGUGUGCCGGCUGAAUAUGUGUGCCUUCGCUGGAGCGUACUACGUUGUUCCGCGCUCCGCCCGUGAGGAGUGACGUGGCACCGCGUAUUCUACCGCAGUGCAUUCGUCGCUGCGUUCGUGACUGUUAUGUGCGCUGCAACCUCGCCUUUGAAAGGACGACAACCUUGCUUUUUAAUUACAAGUUUAAUGUUUGCUUAAGACGAUGGACACAUUGCAAAUGGCGGCAGGAGUGAUGAACGUGGGACUGUAUCGACUGCAAGGACGUAGUGUCCUGUCUCAACGGACACGCAUAUGCGUGCAAAACUACUACUGCUUCUCACAUCGAAGAGGGGUCUCGUGCCCCAAAUUGCAAAAUUCCCAUAUCGGACACUCCUCCUGGGAACAAGGCUAACCGGAAGUCGCGCGUACGCUAGUAAUAAAUCAGGUCCCCCAAACUCACCUCGGAAAAGCGUGCAACGAAGAAGGCCGCCACUAGGUACGCCACUGUUGCCGUUCCGGAUCACUUCAGCGCGCUAAGUUUAGCGGCAAAAUGUUUUUGCUGUCUCUACGAAUGAAUCUAGUCUUUAUAUGUCCAAAUAAAACGCGUAUUACGA